rnacentral:rRNA from 1 species
GACGAACGCUGGCGGCGUGCUUAACACAUGCAAGUCGAACGCUGAAGCUCAGCUUUUGUUGGGUGGAUGAGUGGCGAACGGGUGAGUAACACGUGAGUAACCUGCCCCCUUCUUUGGGAUAACGCCCGGAAACGGGUGCUAAUACUUGAUAUUCACUGGUCUUCGCAUGGGGGUUGGUGGAAAGGGGUUUUCUGGUGGGGGAUGGGCUCGCUGCCUAUCGGCUUGUUGGUGGGGUGAUGGCCUACCAAGGCUUUGACGGGUAGCCGGCAUGAGAAGGUGAACGGGAACAUAGGGACUGACAUACGGCCUAGAGUACUACGGGAGGCAGCAGAGGGGAAUAUUGCAGAAUGGGCGAAAGAGUGAUGCAGCGACGCCGAGUGAGGGAUGGAGGUCUUAGGGUUGUGAACCUCUGUAGGUAAUGGUCAAGCCGAAACAAUGGUUGUGGUGAGGGUAGUGGGUAAAGAAGCGCCGGCUAACUACGUG